CCUACGGGUGGCAGCAGUGGGGAAUAUUGCACAAUGGGGGAAACCCUGAUGCAGCGACGCCGCGUGAGUGAAGAAGUAUUUCGGUAUGUAAAGCUCUAUCAGCAGGGAAGAAAUAGCGGCCUUUUGGUCGACAGACGGUCCCUGACUAAGAAGCCCCGGCUAACUACGUGCCAGACGCCGCGGUAAUACGUAGGGGGCAAGCGUUACCCGGAUUUACUGGGUGUAAAGGGGGCGUAGACGGCAGCACAAGUCUGAAGUGAAAUGCCGGGGCUUAACCCCGGAACUGCUUUGGAAACUGUGCAGCUAGAGUGCAGGAGAGGUAGGUGGAAUUCUUGGUGUAGAGGUAAAAUGCGUAGAUAUUAAGAGGAACACCAGUGGCGAAGGCGGCUUACUAGACUGUAACUGACGUUGAGGCGCGAAAGCGUGGGGAGCAAACAGGAUUAGAUACCCCUGUAGUC
rnacentral:rRNA from 1 species